AUGACCGACAGCAUAGAGACUGUCACCUUUAUUUUGUAUCUAGAAAUAUGCAGAAAGCAACAGUACAAAGUUCUCCUGGAUGACCAAGAUGCCUUAGCCGUGACUUGGGCUGUUGACAGCAGAAAAGGCAAGCUGCUCCUUCACUUUUUGGGCUCCAGACUUGAUGAAAGGCAAUCCAAACAAGAGCUGGCUUGCGUGCACGGGUCCUUCACGGUGUGUUGCCAACUUGUGAGGGAGUUCAUUUACCAGUGACAAGCUUUAACCAUGGACACAUCCCGAUGUACGUUGUGCAAGAGACGAGAAAUCUGUGUAAACAGAUGAACACGAUUUUCUGAUUCAUAGCAGUUGCGGAGUUAUCAUGUAAGAGGCAAACGUUUCACAUUUUCCACCAGUUUUCCAUAUGUCUGAUGACAUAAUGGCUUCACCAGAAGCUGCAACGCAUUGGAGAAAGGAUUUAUCACAGCUGCAUUUAUUUUCCUCUACUUCAUGGCUUCAGCAUUCAUGGAGAGAUUG
rnacentral:lncRNA from 1 species